rnacentral:rRNA from 1 species
AACGAACGCUGGCGGCAGGCUUAACACAUGCAAGUCGAGCGCCUCGCAAGAGGAGCGGCAGACGGGUGAGUAACGCGUGGGAAUCUACCCAUCUCUACGGAACAACUCCGGGAAACUGGAGCUAAUACCGUAUACGUCCUUCGGGAGAAAGAUUUAUCGGAGAUGGAUGAGCCCGCGUUGGAUUAGCUAGUUGGUGGGGUAAUGGCCUACCAAGGCGACGAUCCAUAGCUGGUCUGAGAGGAUGAUCAGCCACACUGGGACUGAGACACGGCCCAGACUCCUACGGGAGGCAGCAGUGGGGAAUAUUGGACAAUGGGCGAAAGCCUGAUCCAGCCAUGCCGCGUGAGUGAUGAAGGCCCUAGGGUUGUAAAGCUCUUUCAACGGUGAAGAUAAUGACGGUAACCGUAGAAGAAGCCCCGGCUAACUUCGUG